rnacentral:rRNA from 1 species
CCAACGGGGGGCAGCAGUAGGGAAUAUUAGUAAUGGGCGAAAGCCUGAACUAGCAACACCGCGUGUGCGAAGAAUGCCUUCGGGUUGUAAAGCACUUUUUGAGAGGAUGAGGAAGGACGGUACUCUCAGAAUAAGUCUCGGCUACCUACGUGCCAGCAGCCGCGGUAACACGUAGGAGGCACAAGUUAUCCGGAUUUACUGGGCGUAAAGCGCGGGUAGGUGGUUUGGUAAGUAGAGCGUGAAAGCUCCUGGCUCAACUGGGAGAGGUCGUUCUAAACUGCCGGACUAGAGGAUGGUAGAGGGAGGUGGAAGUCCGGGUGUAGCGGUGGAAUGCGCAGAUAUCCGGAGGAACACCAGUGGCGAAAGCGGCCUCCUGGACCACUCCUGACACUCAGACGCGAAAGCUAGGGUAGCAAACG